UACCCGCCUCACUCACCCCUUACCCCAGAGCUGCUCCUGCCGCGAGCAGGUGAGCGUCACAAGGCCAACACAAGCUCUAGCAACUUGGACGCGGAGUGGCAGUGUUGUGCCAAAGGAGUAAAGCUCUAAAUGUGGAAUUUCAGCUCGGCAGAAGAGGCGAGAGGCACGCGUUUCCCGACGCACCGGGAAGGGAAGGGUCCCUGCGUCAGAAGCCCCCGCCGGGGACAGUCCGCCCGCCGAGGACGGUGCCCUGUGUAUCGCACACCAGCGCCUCAAGACAUCCGGGCGGGAGGACAUCCAAACCCGCUACCUGCCGAACCUUUUUGUUUUUCUCCUGCGAACGCAGAGACUUUGGGCCAAAACCUUCCCGUAGAUGGGAGCAGCUUACACGCGGCGAGAGGAGUACAAAGACGGCAAGGAUUAAAAGCAGACCUGGAGAGCAUGACACCGAGUGAAAGAAGUCAGAAACGGGAACGCCUUAGGACUGCAUUACAUGUGGCAUCUAAGAGAACGGUGGCCGGGGGUGAGGGCGGAUGGUGACACAGGUGAAGGGAGUUAGGGUACAGAUUUGCAGGGAUAAAACAGAACAGCAAUACCUGAGUUAUUUAUAAGAUAAAUGUGCGUAUGUCGGGACAGCGUGAAAAUCCUUCUCCUGCUGAGACCACUGCUCCUUCUCAAUCAGUAUUAACGUACUGGUCACAGAGCACCCAUUCAUCAUUUUCUGCAAAACCCAUCUUUUGGAGCCUCAUCAGUACAGAACCUGGAUCUUUCGAGGGAAGGAACCAGGUUCCCGGACGGUGCCAGGGGGGCAGGAGCAGAAACCAGAUGGGCCGUGUAAGGUGUGAACGCGGCACUUCUGGUCACGCCGAGGAAGAGCCUGCGGGCCGUGGGAGUGCUGCUUUGAAGGAUUUAGCACUCGGGGAGCCCUCACACAAGAUGAGGUGCACGUGAAAGGCUGCCCCGCAGGUGUGGCCUGGGCUGUCAGUGUGUUUGGAAGUGACUCAGGACACAAGGCCUCUUACAAAACACUAAUGGGAAAGGAGAUGCUUCUGAGCCAGAUCAGAAUACAGCUGACCUCCUUCUGAGAGAAGGUGGAAGAUUUCAAGUCAAUUAUCUUCUUUUCUGUAAAGUCUGUUUGUGCCUGGGAUGUAAGACAAAACGAUUUGUCCCUUUCAAAAUAGAGCAAUUUGUGUCUUUCUGAACAUCCAAUGUUCUGGUGACGAUUGUGUGGCUUAAUGCUUCAAGAUGCUGUUUGUUCUACGUCUCAGUUCUAAAGACUGACCAUUGUGAAUCUCGGCAUUAACUCUGGUUCCUCUUUACCUGAGAAUUUGAGGGAAAUGGAUUCCAGAAGACAGGCUUUCAACAAUAACUAAUUCAUAUAUCCUUCCCUUCUCAGAUUAAGGAAGUCGUUCAUCGUGGAAGUCUCUGUCCGACUGAUUACCGCACUUCACCAAACCUAAGCUAUUACAGUAGAGAUAUCCCAAUUUCAAAGACAUUAAAAUGUAAGAAAGGUCAUGCUACAAUCGGUGAGCUACAACCAUGACAAUGGUCAACAUUUAUUGAGAGCUUAUUGCAUGCUGUGAUGCCAAGUACUUUGCAGGUCUCCUCUGAUGUCCCCCCUAGCACGGCCCUGUAAGUUAGAUCUUAUUACCCUCCCAAUUGCACACAUGUGGGAAGCCGAGCUCAGAGGUGAAGGUGGAGAGACCCAGGCAGCUGGCCUCCAGGUGCACCUGUCCGUUAGCCCCGCUGCCAACUGAAGGGAUGUCGCUCUCUAGGGGCAGCGUUCAUGCUCAAAUUCCAGCAUCUAGUUAAGCUUGAACAAAGUCCAAUUGUCUGCUAAAUGAAACAAAUACCAUUUUAAAGACAAAUAGCCUUUAAUGAUAACAGUACUUGCCAAGAGUUGAGUAAAUACACUAUAAUAUUAAGACCUCAUUGCCCAGGAGAGAUGCCGCCUAUGGGUUCUAUAAUCUGAACCAUUUUCUGGAAAAUUGCACAACCAGAGACCACAGAUUACUCUGUCCAUAGACCAGGGGCAGAGAGCGGUUCCCGCUCUGCCCCCCACCACACCCCACCCCAACGGACAGGAGACGAACCAACCAAGGAGACAUGCUCACUGAUUACGUCCCCAUACCACACAAGAGGUGCCAGGACCUCUGCAUUCUCUGUGCGCAUGGACAAAAGCCCCCUUCCUGGACCUGCACAGACCAUUUCCCAAACUCAUCUUCCCAGUGAGGGAUUCGGAGGCAGCUGCCUAUGGGCACAGACAUAGCCUGUGCCAAGUCCCGGAAGGUGGAAUUCGACAUUUAGGCCCUUGGGUUAUCAUGGAGGCUUGAGUCCAGGUAAGAGGGGGAGCCCACAUGUUUUGCUUGGUUUGUGUCUGAUAUUGAGACAAGACAUCAACUCUAAAGGGUAUUCAGAACCAGGAUGUAGGAAACAGAUAUUUUCCGUGUUGGAAAUACACACUAUUUCUAGAAUGAUAGCUGUCCUACAACGAAAUCCUUUCUCCUAGGGAUCAGGAAUUUCAAUGUCACAAUUACAUCCUAAAACAUCAUUUUAACCUUUCAAAAAGAAAAGACAUGACACACACACAAAGAAAUGAUAUUUUGAGAAUAUCAAAAUACCUCCAUUACCUCCCUAAGAAUGCUAGCAUAAUUUUUUUUUUCACUUUUUAAGAUAAAACAUCCCAGAUACAAAAGUAAAACUGAGGUAUAAUUUAUAAUUGUGUGUUUUCCGGCUUGUGUUCCAGUAACCUGUAAUUUUUCAGAAACAGUUGAAGGAAGAUUCAGCCAUUAGAUUUAUGAAAUGUGUGCCUGGGGUGAAAUACAAAAUAAGGUGAGAUUCGCAAACCUUACGGGUUGGCGGGUGCAGGAAGCAACCUUCUGUAAAUAAACUCUUAAUUUCAGCGGCUCAGGGCCCAAGGAAGUGGUCAAAGUCAUGGCAGGCUUUGAACUGGAUCUCUGCACUUUGGAGAUUCGAUUUGCACACAGCGGUAGAAAAGCAUUUAACCUGACCCCCAGUUUCAGGCGAGUCCGUCAAGUGGUGCAGGUUAAAACAGAAAUAAACACAGAAACACAGUGAGCCAAUUUUUGACAGAUAAUUAUCUGCAUAACAUCCUUUGCAGUUGUUGACAUGUGCUUUUAUUUUAAAAACUGCCUAUUUUGUACCCAAUUUUUAUAUCGAAACUUUUUCUAAUAAUCAAAAAGUCUGUAGUUUUAAUCUAUGUUCUGAUUCCCUAAAAAGUAAAAAAUAUGCAUUCAAACAUCCCUGUUACGUUCUUCAUGUACUUCCCUGUCUUGAAGAAAACCUAGCCAAGCCAAGGUAACCACAGAUCACUUGGUAAUCAGGGUGAAAAGAUUGAAAUGACUUUAAUGGGAGGAUAGAGGUUCUGGAAAACGAAAUAAUGAAGAGUCUUUGACCUCACUGACAUUCGUCUUAGCAUAUAUUCCUGCUCUUUGCCUUCUAACCCAAAGGGUCUGGUUCACCUUGUGUCUGCCAUAUGAGUAAGGCCAGAAGAGUCACAAUGGAAUAUUUCAGUGUUUUCCUGUGUGGAUUUUUACCCCUUUUUCUUUAUUUCCCCCUCCUUCACCUUCAUAGUCCAUGUUACAGUUAAACCAUUAGAGGACACUAAGCCAGUCAUGACCCAUCUGCCGGAAGCCUCAGGAGCAGGGCCCUGGCCAGCCCUUACCGCCUGGGGCACCUGCCACAGUGCACCUGCCGGGCUCCCAGGUGGGUCUGUCUCCCUGACUCCACAGGACCCAGACAGUGUGGGCUCCCUGCGGGACCAGCGGAAGAGGCCCCCCGGCUGGAGCUCACGCCUGCCCAUCCUGUGGCCACCAUGAUGCACAGCGGUAGGUUCUGGAGGAGUGCUUCACCUGGAUCACCCUGCACCUGCUCCCCAGACCCCACCUGGUCCUGGUGUCCACCCCACCACCCACCAGAGGCCCCGAGCCCCUGG